rnacentral:rRNA from 1 species
GACGAACGCUGGCGGUGUGCUUAACACAUGCAAGUCGAACGGAAAGGCCCUGCUUUUGUGGGGUGCUCGAGUGGCGAACGGGUGAGUAACACGUGAGAAACCUGCCCUUGACUUUGGGAUAACUUCAGGAAACUGGGGCUAAUACCGGAUAGGAGCUCCUGCUGCAUGGUGGGGGUUGGAAAGUUUCGGCGGUUGGGGAUGGACUCGCGGCUUAUCAGCUUGUUGGUGGGGUAGUGGCUUACCAAGGCUUUGACGGGUAGCCGGCCUGAGAGGGUGACCGGCCACAUUGGGACUGAGAUACGGCCCAGACUCCUACGGGAGGCAGCAGUGGGGAAUAUUGCACAAUGGGCGGAAGCCUGAUGCAGCAACGCCGCGUGCGGGAUGACGGCCUUCGGGUUGUAAACCGCUUUCGCCUGUGACGAAGCGUGAGUGACGGUAAUGGGUAAAGAAGCACCGGCUAACUACGUG